AUGGAAAAUGAGCAUAUAGAUGGUAGUGUAGAUGGCAAUGAUGAAGUUGAAUCAGAUUAUGUACAAAUGGAAAAUGAGCAUAUAGAUGGUAGUGUAGCUGGAAGUGAUGGAGCUGAACCAGAUUCUCACUCUGACAGUGAGGAGCAUCAACCUAGUCAGGAUCUGCUUAUAAGGAGCCUAAGAUAUUGGGCAACAUCCUACUCCAUCAGUCUGGUUGCUUUGUCUGCUCUGCUGUCCAUCUUAAAGCUAUUUCACCCUAGGCUUCCUAAAGAUGGAAGAACUCUGCUUGGAACACAAUCUCAUGUUGCAACCACUCAAAUGCAAGGUGGCGAGUACUUUCAUUUUGGAUUGGUGCAAGGAAUACUUUCACGAUUGAAAUGUCUGAGUUUACCAGUGAACCUCACAACUCUUACUUUACAGUUCAACAUAGAUGAUCUCCCCCUCUUUAAGAGUUCAAGACUUCAAUUCUGGCCUAUACUUGCAAUCCUAAAAUGUGAUUACACUAAGUCCCCAUUUAUUGUCGGUAUAUUUUGUGGUUUAAGCAAGCCAAAGUGCGUUGUUGAGUAUCUGCAGCAAUUUGUUAGUGACCUUAAAAAUGUACUGGCUAACGGCAUUUUUCAUAAGGGUAAGCCAUUGAAUGUAGAGGUUUCCUCAUUUGUGUGUGAUGCUCCCGCCAGAGCCUAUGUUAAGAAUGUUAAGUCACAUAAUGGGUAUUCAGGAUGCGACAAGUGUGGUCAAGAGGGUGUGUGUAGGAACAAAAUGACGUAUCCUGAAACAAAUGUCAGGCUCAGGACUGGCUCGAGUUAUUGUGAUAUGAUUGAUGAGGAACAUCACUUGAAACAGACACUCAGUCCUUUAACAGGGAUUGUAAAGAUGGUUUCUUCAUUCCCAAUAGAUUAUAUGCAUCUCUGUUGUCUUGGGUUGAUGAGAAAACUGUUGAAUAUGUGGUCAAAGGGCAAUCUAGCCACUAGGCUUCCUUCACAAACUGUUAACAGUAUAUCAAGCAAACUGCUGGUGUUACAUUCCCACACCCCUGUUGAAUUCAAUCGCAAGCCAAGAGGUUUGAAUGAGCUUGAUUGUUGGAAAGCUACUGAGCUCCGAUCCUUUAUGUUAUACUGGGGUCCUGUAGUUCUGAAGGAUUGCCUUCCUAGUGAGCUUUAUGACAAUUUUAUGUUAUUUUCAGUGGCCAUGUAUUUGUUUUUGUCACCUGGACUUCAUUGUCAAAUGGUUGAAUUUGCACAUAGAUCGAUGAUUUCCUUUGUCGAACACUUUGGACAGCUGUAUGGUACGGAUGAGAUUGUGUUCACUGUUCAGCAGCUUAUACAUUUAGUUGAUGAAUACAAACAAUUUGGACCUUUAGAUAAUGUUUCAGGAUUCCCUUUUGAGAAUUAUCUUUAUCCAAAUAAAGCAUCUUUUACGCAAGCCACACAAACCUCUACAACAGGUUGUCAAAAGGUUGUCAGAAAUGCCACAUGUUGA
rnacentral:lncRNA from 1 species